UACGUAGGGUGCGAGCGUUUGUCCGGAAUUACUGGGCGUAAAGAGCUCGUAGGUGGUUUGUCGCGUUGUCCGUGAAAACUCACAACUCAAUUGUGGGCGUGCGGGCGAUACGGGCAGACUGGAGUACUGCAGGGGAGACUGGAAUUCCUGGUGUAGCGGUGGAAUGCGCAGAUAUCAGGAGGAACACCGAUGGCGAAGGCAGGUCUCUGGGCAUUAACUGACGCUGAGGAGCGAAAGCAUGGGGAGCGAACAGG
rnacentral:rRNA from 1 species